rnacentral:lncRNA from 1 species
GCGAGACGACGGGACCCUGCGGAGCUGCUUUUUUUUUCAUACGCUCUACGUCUUCGAGAAACAGCAGUCCUGCCUCUCUUCAAUAUCUGAAGAGCACAUUAUGCCAUCAAGACAAUGCUCACAGCUGAAACAACACCACACGUUAACAGCAAGCGGAAGAGUAAAGUAUCUGCAGUUCAAGCAGUGCAAAGGUGUUCCUUCUAGAUCGGAUGGAGCUUGGAAGUAUUUCAAGAGGUUGUAGCUCAGGUGCCCAUGAGCCAAAGGGCCUUCAUUGUUGAAAAAGAUGUGUCGCCGGCAGACGCUGCUGUGCAAGGUGCUGCUUCUAUUGUUCUUGCGCCAGCUGUCACCCAUCACGCGGGCACCACUACGACUGGUUUUGCCACAAGCGCCUUGGUGUCCUGAUGUCGCACGGAAUUGUUGUGUGACCACAUCGUCAGCAAAGUAUGAAGCAUCAUCAUUUCCACCGCAUCCCCCCUCGCAAUUCUGGAUGGUGCAGCGUUCUCCAUUCAGCAAGAUGGAACAGUCAGUGAACAAACCUGCACAAUACUGUUGCAUGGUGGAAAUCAUACAGGUACCAUGGGUGUUAAGAAGUUUUGAUAUUCCUUCCAUGGGGGGGGGGGGGUUAUAAAUUCCAGAUGUAAAGAUAAUUAAAUGAAAUAAAGCUUCUCUGACAAUUUUUAUUUACACAAUAUGUCGAACGCCUGUGAUGUAUUUUGUUUUAUAUUUCUAGGACAAUAAAGUUUGAUUUCAGUGAAGAUAAAACUUGACCUUGUCGGUU